rnacentral:rRNA from 1 species
UGAGAAGGAACUCGGCAAAUUGGUACCGUAACUUCGGGAUAAGGUACGCCCUUGUAGUUUGACUGGCCUGCGCCAGAAGGACGAAGGGGUUGCAAUAAAUUGGUGGCUGCGACUGUUUAAUAAAAACACAGCACUCUGCAAACACGAAAGUGGACGUAUAGGGUGUGACUCCUGCCCGGUGCUGGAAGAUUAAAUGAUGGGGUGCAAGCUCUUGAUUGAAGUCCCAGUAAACGGCGGCCGUAACGAUAACGGUCCUAAGGUAGCGAAAUUCCUUGUCGGGUAAGUUCCGACCUGCACGAAUGGAGUAACGAUGGCCACACUGUCUCCUCCCGAGACUCAGCGAAGUUGAAAUGUUUGUGAUGAUGCAAUCUACCCGCGGCUAGACGAAAGACCCCAUGAACCUUUACUGUAGCUUUGCAUUGGACUUUGAACCAAUCUGUGUAGGAUAGGUGGGAGGCUUUGAAGCGGGGACGCCAGUUCUCGUGGAGCCAACCUUGAAAUACCACCCUGGUUUGUUUGAGGUUCUAACCUUGGUCCGUUAUCCGGAUCGGGGACAGUGCAUGGUAGGCAGUUUGACUGGGGCGGUCUCCUCCCAAAGUGUAACGGAGGAGUUCGAAGGUACGCUAAUUACGGUCGGACAUCGUGAUGAUAGUGCAAUGGCAUAAGCGUGCUUAACUGCGAGACUGACAAGUCGAGCAGGUACGAAAGUAGGACAUAGUGAUCCGGUGGUUCUGUAUGGAAGGGCCAUCGCUCAACGGAUAAAAGGUACUCUGGGGAUAACAGGCUGAUUCCUCCCAAGAGUUCAUAUCGACGGGGGAGUUUGGCACCUCGAUGUCGGCUCAUCACAUCCUGGGGCUGUAGCCGGUCCCAAGGGUAUGGCUGUUCGCCAUUUAAAGUGGUACGUGAGCUGGGUUUAAAACGUCGUGAGACAGUUUGGUCCCUAUCUGCCGUGGGCGUUGGAAAUUUGAAGGGGGCUGCUCCUAGUACGAGAGGACCGGAGUGGACGAACCUCUGGUGUACCGGUUGUCACGCCAGUGGCAUUGCCGGGUAGCUAAGUUCGGAAGAGAUAACCGCUGAAAGCAUCUAAGCGGGAAACUUGCCUUGAGAUGAGAUUUCCCGGAGCUUUAAGCUCCUUAAAGGGUCGUUCGAGACCAGGACGUUGAUAGGCUGGGUGUGGAAGUGCAGUAAUGCAUUAAGCUAACCAGUACUAAUUGCCCGUAAGGCUUGUCCCU